rnacentral:lncRNA from 1 species
GGGGGUUGAAUAAACAUUUCUCUUAUAACGAUCAAACAAUUAUAUUUUUACGAAAAAAUUUUGUUGAUCUUCAAGUAUAGCUUUUCGGCCCUCAAUCUUCCAAACACACAAUUAGUCAAUGCGCUCUUAAUACUUGAUUUAUAGUGGCAAAUUAUCAAGGAAAUUUUGCAACUUGGUUCUAGGUUGGCUAUGAUCAUGUAUAAAUGGUAUCCAACUUAUUAAUUUGGGCUUAACAUCCAAUUUCUUAUAGAAAUCUAUAAGGAAAUUCAGGAACUAGGGUACUUUUAGGCAUAAUGAGAGAACUUUUACAUUAUUUAUGUACUAAUAGGUUAGAUUUCAAUAAUUCUAAGAGCUACUCUGC